ACAGUCAGCCAAAUAUAUCCUGGAAAGUGACAAGGACAUGAAGGCAGAAAUCAUCUUUCCAACCAGUACUGAAUAUAUAUGGCUUUUGAUUCCAGAAAAGAACAAUUCAAAGCAUGGAAGACAAAAAAUGACAUUGACAUAGAAAUGAGGGAAGGCUUGAAUAAAAAUUCUGCUCAGGCUUCAAUCUUAACACAUCCCUGAUCGUAUGGAAUAAAAAUGGUGUCUUUCAACCAAUAAAACUCGAUUCCAACUGUUCUCCUGAAUACACAUCUCUCUGAUUGAAUGUCAAACAGGUCCAGUGCAGGAAAAAUCUGUCUCUUUUCUUAUUAUUCAGACUGAAGAUGGCUUCCAGGAGAGGAAGAAACAUCUCGUCUAUGUCUGCCCAGCAUAUCUUUGUCAGCUCAUCUGGCAUUAAUAUUAGCAAUAGUGAAAGUCACCAUUGUUCUGGAACCUCUCCAAAAGCAUUCUGCUGCAUCUGCUGUUAACCACAAUGUGCAUGUAUUCAAAGGAAAUGCUCGGGUGAUUUCACAGUCAAAAAUGGUCCCAAAAGAUUCUGGAGCCACUGCCCAAAA